GACGAACGCUGGCGGCGUGCUUAACACAUGCAAGUCGAACGGAAAGGCCCUGCGUUUGUGGGGUGCUCGAGUGGCGAACGGGGGAGUAACACGUGAGUAACCUGCACUUGAAUGUGGGAUAACUUCAGGAAACUGGGGCUAAUACCGGAUAGGAGAUCCUGAUGCAUGGUGGGGGUUGGAAAGUUUCGGCGGUUGGGGCUGGAUUCGCGGCUUAUCAGCUUGUUGGUGGGGUAGUGGCUUACCAAGGCUAUGACGGGUAGCCGGCCUGAGAGCGUGGCCGGCCACAUUGGUCCUGCGAUACGCCCCAGUCUCCUACCUGAGGCAGCAGGGGGGAAUCUUGCACAGUGGGCGCAAGCCUGAUGCAGCGACGCCGCGUGCGGGAUGACGUCCUUCGGGUUGUAAACCUCUUUCGCCUGUGCCGAAGCGUGAGUGACGGUAAUGGGUAAAGAAGCACCGGCUAACUACGUG
rnacentral:rRNA from 1 species